GGGGCAUGUGGUUUAAUUCGAUGCAAAGAGAAGAACUUUAUCAUGGCCUAACAUGUCGCGAAUCCUUUUGAAAGAGAAGGGUGCCUUUGGGAGCACGAACACAGGUAAAACAUGAUUGUCGUUAACUUGUGCUGUAAAUUGUUGGGUUAAGUUCCACAAUGAGUGCAACACUCGUGUUUAGUUGUUAUCGUUGAGUUUGGGACCUUAAACGGACUGUCGAUGAUAAGUCGGAGGAGGGUGAGGAUAAUGUCAAGUCAUCAUACCCUUUAUGCCCUGGACAACAACACACGUACUAC
rnacentral:rRNA from 1 species